UGGAUAAUUUCAUAUUAUGUCAAAAGCAUGCGGAGUUUUUACCUUCAUAGUAUAUUAGUUUGGCAUGUCAAUUGAGCCACAAUAUGGAUUUCCUGCACUGUUAACUGGUUAUUACUUGCAAUUACCUGAUUCUAAAGCCCCAGCCCUGGUCCAGAUUGUUUUUAAUUUAUUCUAUUUCAAUGCGAGGUACAUGGACUAUUUCAACCUGUAUGACAGAGAUCGAAUGUGAAGCCUCCUCUCUGUUUGCUGUUUCAUAUGGGGGAUAACAACUGCCUAGAGUGUUCCUCCUCCCAUCAAGAUUAGGGCUUUUUUCAUUCGUUGUAUGUAUGGUUGUGCUGGCUGAGAAGGUUAUCCGUGGUGAUCUCUAUAUCUUAUUUCCUUGCAAUUGGAUGAUUGUGCUCAAUCAAUAUUAACAGGUCUACCGAAUGUGUAUAGACUCAGCCGGUCCCAAGCUCAGAUAAAGCAAGGAGGGUUGGAAGAGGUAAAACACUUUCACUAAAAGUUGAAUACUUGCUUGUUUCUACUAGUGCAGUUAGUAGUAGCAUAUAAGUCUGGGUAUCGCCUAUGUCAACUGUAGCAUAAGUCACACUUAAGGAGUUAAGGGCCCUGCAUUAUAAGUGGUUGGUUUAGCAUGUAAAUGUAAUCUUGGCUAUAAGUAUUCCCAAAAAAAAAUUGUGAGCAAUCAAUCAAGACAUGGUUGUCAUUA